UCUCUGGUAGUUUAUUUAGAAUAUGAGAUUGCAAAUCUUAUGGUGGUUAGUUUCCUCAGGGAU
rnacentral:tRNA from 1 species